rnacentral:ncRNA from 1 species
AGCUGAUUUGGUACCCGAAAGGGUUUAAUAGGGAAUCCGGUGAUGGCCUGGUAACAACAGGAAGAAUCCGGAGCUGUACCCGCAGCUGUAAUCCCACUUCCGCCAUCGCGGGAGUUUUCUUUGAACCACCUGCUGCCACUGUUCUCCGUCUUAAAGCGGGGGCGGGAAGGCCUCAAAUGAAGGGAAAGCCAGAAAACCUGCCAGAUC